GUUGAACCGCCAGGCGGACCAUACGGAGUCGGGGGGAUGAGUAGUAAGAGGGAUGGACGGCCGCAUUUGCCUGCCCCGAAAACGGUUGCGGGGACCAAGAUGUUCCGGGUGGAUCAAGGGACAACCCCCCUGGAGGCUGGCCAACGAAUGGGUCUUGCUGAAUGGGCUGAGGAGUCUGUACGAGGUGCUGUGAACCAAGGGGGGCGGCCAGGGAUGCCGAAGGAUAACCAUAGCCGACCGCGCUCUGCGAAGGGCCUGGGAACGACACGCUCGGAAAUCCAACAUGGCGGGCAUCUGAAGUCGGGAAUGUAGAAGGAGACGAUAAAUUCGAACCCAAACGAGACAGGAAC